CUAACUGCAGUAAAUUCUUUACACUAAUGAUACACAUUGUAGUCCUUCGAUUUGGUAUUUGGAGAUCAUUCACACAUUAAGUUAACAUAUAUACACAGUCAAAAUAGGACUGGUCAAUCGUACUGUACACCCAUCUGCUUCAAGUAAAAACCUCAAUAUCCCACAGUUCAUGAAGGCAACAUCCUCAGAGUGACGGAGGGGGAUCCCCGGCGGUGUGACGUAGUUGGGCAGCCUGAGUUGUGAAUUCCUACCCAACACCGAAACACAAUGAAUCAUUACAAGCGCAUUUAAUCGGCACAGUCAGAAAAUUCGCUGAUUCAGGUGCAGCCGAACUCCCAUUCACUUCAGUGCAGACCUUCAGAGGCAGAGGAACGAAAUGGAAUGAGAAACAAAAAAAGAAAGAAAGACACGCAGCUGCUCAGCGCUUCAACUAUGGCUCCAACGAAGCUCGUCGGAACGCUCGCCCAGUCCGCUUCACAGGAGUGGACCACAGUGCAGGAUGAGAAGUCUGCUGUGCUCCACCGAGUGUGAGACAGGAGGAACUAUCACCUGAGCGGCGACCCUCCCCUCGGGGAACACAAACAGACACCUUCACUCCCCUCAACCUGGAAAGUGGAGGCUGGAAACGGCUGAAAUCUGCUUGCGCGCACAGUGCCUUUCCAGAACUCUCCUCUUCUCACUUCCUGCUGGAGAUGCACCAGUAGCCUCCGUCACUCUGAUAAACUUGGGAAAACUUUGGCCCACGGAUUUCUGCCACUGAACCUGCCUGCGUUCAGUCUCCAUGCACAGUGAGCAUCGGUGAAGGGAAACGCCUCUGUGUGAUAUUAUUAAAAGUCCUGCAUCACCUCUUCUAGUCCGGGGCCAUCGCAGCGAAGAUGCCGGUCCGGAGGGGACAUGUAGCUCCGCAGAACACCUUCCUGGACACCAUCAUCAGGAAAUUCGACAGUCAAA